AUUAGAAUAGAUAAAUUGUAUAGAUUUUAACACCCGAAAUCGGUGAGGACCACGAUAAUAGCCUGGCUUAAAUGUUAAAAGUUCAGGAAACUAGCUUUUGCAGAUGCAGGCUCCAAAAUUAAAGUGGUAAUUGAUACAACCUGAUUCCUAGUCUUCAUUGUUCAUAUUUCUAAUCAUUUGGUUUGUAUAAUUACUCCAAUUCAUGUUUUUUUCCUUAUUUCGUACCAAUAAUGGAACUAAUUUACAUAUAUGUUGAAUGUGUAGUGCAUCCACUUGCUUUGAGGACUACUUGCUGGGAAUUUGAAAUUGUUGUGGAGGUAAAGAACCAGAGAUUACUAAGAGAAUCUGACAUUAGGAGAGUGAAUAAGGAGGAAGUACUUCAACAAGGAAAUUUUGAACGUUCUUCCAUGAUAUACGUUAACGGUUAAUAGGCUCUGGCAACAUAAUGAUUGCUUCAAGUUCAUGAGUAUGGUUGUCAACUAAAAUUAAUGACAUUCGUUGCUUAUGUUAUACUACUGUUUCUUUCAAAAAAUCAAAUUGUAUCAUGUAAAUAUUAAAAUUGUUUACUAAAAAGGGGAGUACUUGAAUGAAUCAUUAAUUGAAUGAAUGUAUUAAUUUUGAAUUUUAUACA